AUUCAUUCAUGCAUGCAUGCUAGCUUAAAACAGUGCCUUAACAAGACCUCUGAGCAUCAACCACAAAUCUUACCAUAGGAAAGCUACACCAAUAGGCAGUGAGAUGCAAGAACCAAAGAUGGCUUCAGUUGCUGCAAACUGAGUUCAAAUGAAAAAUAAACUUUGAACAGCAGUGAGAGCGAAGGAAAAGAGAAAAUAUAGACCUUUGGCUAAACAAGUUCUCAACUGGGCAGGCGAGCAAGCAAAUGGAAUACCAACUCACUCCUCUCUUAAGAAUGCCACAGCUGAGUUCUACUUAGAGCCACCCACAAAUUGGGAAUUACCGGAAUGUUCUGCCAGACUCAUUAACAAUCAGAUGUCAAGGGCCCACCCAAGGGGCUGAAUUUUUCCCAUCCUUGCCCCUAUUACUCCACCCCAAAACCCAUCCUACUCCACUUCAUCUUACCACAUGAAAAGAAGCAAACAAACAAACAUAACUUUUCCCCUCUGAUCAUCUCCUUUCUCUGAAGGUCAUGAGGGAGCGAAAGGUUUUUGCUUUUUACUGUCUAUGGCCAAUCUUGCCCACCCCAGAUAAUUUGUGCUUAAUGCAUUAAAAAUGACUGUCCUUAACUGAUGGUGUCCCAUA
rnacentral:lncRNA from 11 species